GCUUUAUUGCUUGUCUUCUUA
rnacentral:sRNA from 1 species